GAUGAACGCUGGCGGCGUGCCUAAUACAUGCAAGUCGAGCGAACAGACGAGGAGCUUGCUCCUCUUACGUUAGCGGCGGACGGGUGAGUAACACGUGGAUAACCUACCUAUAAGACUGGGAUAACUUCGGGAAACCGGAGCUAAUACCGGCUAACAUGUUGAACCGCAUGGUUCAACAGUGAAUAACGGUCUUGCUGUCGCUUAUAGAUGGAUCCGCGCCGCAUUAGCUAGUUGGUAAGAUAACGGCUUACCAAGGCAACGAUGCGUAGCCGACCUGAGAGGGUGAUAGGCCACACUGGAACUGAGCCACGGUCCAGACUCCUACGGGAGGCAGCAGUAGGGAAUCUUCCGCAAUGGGCGAAAGCCUGACGGAGCAACGCCGCGUGAGUGAAGAAGGUCUUCGGAUCGUAAAACUCUGUUAUUAGGGAAGAACAAAUGUGUAAGUAACUAUGCACGUCUUGACGGUACCUAAUCAGAAAGCCACGGCUAACUACGUG
rnacentral:rRNA from 1 species